rnacentral:rRNA from 1 species
AGUGAACGCUGGCGGCAGGCCUAAUACAUGCAAGUCGAACGGCAGCACAGCAGAGCUUGCUCUGUGGGUGGCGAGUGGCGGACGGGUGAGGAAUACAUGGGAAUCUGCCCAGUCGUGGGGGAUAACGUAGGGAAACUUACGCUAGUACCGCAUGCGCCCUUCGGGGGAAAGCCGGGGACCGUAAGGCCUGGCGCGAUUGGAUGAGCCCAUGUCGGAUUAGCUAGUUGGCGGGGUAAUGGCCCACCAAGGCGACGAUCCGUAGCUGGUCUGAGAGGAUGAUCAGCCACACUGGAACUGAGACACGGUCCAGACUCCUACGGGAGGCAGCAGUAGGGAAUAUUGGACAAUGGGCGCAAGCCUGAUCCAGCCAUGCCGCGUGAGUGAAGAAGGCCCUCGGGUUGUAAAGCUCUUUUGUCCGGAAAGAAAAGCGCCGGGUUAAUACCCUGGUGUCCUGACGGUACCGGAAGAAUAAGCACCGGCUAACUUCGUGCCAGCAGCCGCAGUAAAAC